CAGGUGCAGACAUCUCAUGGCGUCAGUGACGUGAGAUCUAGAAGUGGUCGCUGAGGAAGGAAGUGAGCAGUCAGUUGGAUCAGGAGAAUAUGAAGGUUUUUAAAAUGUACUCUUUAAUACAAGCACGCACAACUAUCUCUUUGUUUCAUGGCGUGAGAUUUAGAGGCUCAGAGCAACAUGCUUAGCAAACCUUGCUAAUGUUACUGUUUUCUUAAGUCAAGCUUAUGAGGCAUUUUUCUCUUACCUACUACGGGAGAUUAAGUGACCAGUCAUGUGUUGAUAUGUACUCUACGAUUGAGGCAAGUAGACUUAAAUGGAUGCAAGACCACCAAAAAGACCUAAGGAGUGAGUCGGUACAAGGCAUAGCUGAUGCGAUUGAUAAAGGUCUCACUAAUGCUGAUUCAGUUGGUGGAAAGGUAGUCAUCCCUGCCAGUUUUACUGCUGGUAGGAGAUAUUUUGUGAUGAAUUACCAAGAUGCAAUGGCCAUCUGCAGGGUCUAUGCCCCCCUAACCUAUUUGUAACUUUCACAUGCAACACCAAAUGGAGAGAAAUAGGCGAUGUGUUGCGCUUUGAACAAGGACAACAACCAUGUGAUCGUUCUGAUUUAAUAGUGUGGGUCUUCCAUAUGAAAGUAGAUGAAUUUAUAGCAGAUAUUAGAGAAGGAAAAACAUUUGGACCUAUCAGAGCAGGUCAGUAGUUUAUACCACCAUCACAAGCUUAU